GCGGGCACAACUGUUCUCCAUGGCGGCGGCAAGGGGCCAGCUAAUGGGAUGCUGGACAAGAUUGAAAGACCCAAACCUACAUGAACAUCUUCUCCAUUUGAUUUAUUAGCCUCCAGGUGCAGGUUACAGUAUUCCUACUUAAUAUUGUGCCACGUGAAGGUUGUUUGUGCUUGAGCAUAAGAUUUCUCUCUUUUCGUAUCUGAAUAUUCCCUUAUGAUAUCUGAUGGUUCGAGUGUGCUGGGAGAAGAUUUCUGGCAACAUAUAUGCAAUGAAAUGGCU